rnacentral:misc_RNA from 1 species
GAAAUGCGAUAAGUAGUGUGAAUUGCAGAAUUCAGUGAAUCAUCGAAUCUUUGAACGCACAUUGCGCCCCUUGGUAUUCCAUGGGGCAUGCCUGUUCGAGCGUCAUUUGUACCCUCAAGCUCUGCUUGGUGUUGGGUGUUUGUCCCCGUCUCCGCGCGUGGACUCGCCCCAAAGUGAUUGGCAGCCUGCGUACUGGUCCCGGAGCGCAGCACAUGUCGCGCAAACGAGUGCCUUGGUACGGCGGCGUCCAUAAGCCCCUCUCUCACGCUCUUGACCUCGGAUCAGGUAGGGAUACCCGCUGAACUUAAGC